rnacentral:lncRNA from 1 species
CCGGCGCAGAUCCAAGCAGCUGGAGGAUCCGGAGAGAUAUCUGAAGCGAUACGAAUGCUCCUUACGUGGACUGGCUUCCUUUAUUUCUUCUUAAGAUUUCAAAGAAGAGGCUGUGCAGGACAGUAGAAGCUGUUGAAGUUUUGACUGUGGGUUCGCGCUCUCCCUAUCUGCAGGGGUUUCACUGAGUUGGCAAAAACGUGUCGCGACGCAGGAACAGAAAUAAACUGUCGGCCUUCAAGAACUCCAACACACGCACAUCUUGUCCUAAUUGGACCUCCAACAGACACUCGGCUCAGCAUGGUGAAGGUUCUUCUUGAAGGUUCUGAGGAUACAGAAGCCCAUGGUUUGAAUGAAAUAUUUUGGUCUUUCCCACCCUCUUGCUGGUCUUGUUGAACAUUCAACGCUGUCGGUGAGUUUUUGACAUAGAAAAACCAUCGACCGUUGAGUGGGCCCUGAGGCCACGCCCUCUUCCGCCCAGACACGCCCACCUCUAUAGAUGACUUAAUUUCUUCAAAGGUCAUAAUCAACAUUCAUUGCUGUCGGUGGGUUAAUU